rnacentral:tRNA from 1 species
GGAGAGCGGACCGGACGGCAAGGUGGCAGUCUUGAAAACUGCUGGGCGCAAGCCCUAACAGGUUCGACUCCUGUGCUCUCCG